GGGGGAGAGAGAGAGAGAGAGAGCAGCCACAUACUCGCACAUCCCCCAUGCUCACAUGGUACGUAAGAAGUUUGAAAAGCAUUCCAGUUUUCAUUCUCAUCUCGCUUGCAACAUUUCAUUUUUUUUGUUUUAUUUUAUAAGAAAAAAGUAUGGGCAUCAAAUCCACACACCUAUUUGCAGUUGCCAACAAGUAUAUAAUUGAGCUAAACCCAAUAGAUUAGCAUAUGAUUCAGGAACGAAUGAAAGCAUGUUAACUUGCUUCAAGUAGUAUGUUACAGUCCUAAUGCAAGAAAGCUUGUGUCCUUAAUUUAAAGUAAGGGAUUAGGUGUACGGUAUAUAUACAGACUUGGGCUUUCCAACCUCAAUAACUAGCUUUUGGGAUGUGAUUCUCACAAGUUCGUAUCAAUGGUAUUAGAGCCGUUCACUAUGACUUCCAGUUGCAAUCAUGUGGCGCAGGUGGUGACGCCAAAAUAGCAGUGUUCGCCCAGGGCUAGAUUAAGCUAGUGCAAAGCCAGCUUGCAUGGGCCCACGACUGCGGAGCGUGGUGGAAUGUUACAAUCCAAUUGCAAGAGAACUUGUAUCCCACAUUGAAAGUGUGGGAUUUCAGUGUAGGGUAUAAAUGGACUUGGGCUCUCCAACCUCA
rnacentral:misc_RNA from 1 species